rnacentral:misc_RNA from 1 species
UUAAGUUCAGCGGGUAUCCCCACCUGAUCCGAGGUCAACCUUGAUAGAAAAAAAGGUGUGUUCUGCGGCGGACGUGGCCCAUCUCGAAAACGCUGGAAAGUUAUCUCGCUGCGCUCGAAGACGGACGGCGACGCCGAGGGGUUUGAGGCGGGCCCCAAAGGGCCUCACCCAACACCAAGCAGGGCUUGAUUUGUGUAAUG